rnacentral:rRNA from 1 species
AGGUCAUGCUGCUUUAUUACUAUGCAGUCGACGGCAGCGCGGGCUUCGGCCUGAGCGGCGAGUGGCGAACGGGUGAGUAAUACAUCGGAACGUGCCCUGUCGUGGGGGAUAACUAGUCGAAAGAUUAGCUAAUACCGCAUACGACCUGAGGGUGAAAGCGGGGGACCGGUAACGGCCUCGCGCGAUAGGAGCGGCCGAUGUCUGAUUAGCUAGUUGGUGGGGUAAAGGCCUACCAAGGCGACGAUCAGUAGCUGGUCUGAGAGGACGAUCAGCCACACUGGGACUGAGACACGGCCCAGACUCCUACGGGAGGCAGCAGUGGGGAAUUUUGGACAAUGGGGGCAACCCUGAUCCAGCAAUGCCGCGUGUGUGAAGAAGGCCUUCGGGUUGUAAAGCACUUUUGUCCGGAAAGAAAUGGCCUGGGCUAAUACCCCGGGUCGAUGACGGUACCGGAAGAAUAAGCACCGGCUAACUACGUGCCAGCAGCCGCGGUAAUACGUAGGGUGCGAGCGUUAAUCGGAAUUACUGGGCGUAAAGCGUGCGCAGGCGGUUUGAUAAGACAGGCGUGAAAUCCCCGAGCUCAACUUGGGAAUGGCGCUUGUGACUGUCAGGCUAGAGUAUGUCAGAGGGGGGUAGAAUUCCACGUGUAGCAGUGAAAUGCGUAGAGAUGUGGAGGAAUACCGAUGGCGAAGGCAGCCCCCUGGGACGUCACUGACGCUCAUGCACGAAAGCGUGGGGAGCAAACAGGAUUAGAUACCCUGGUAGUCCACGCCCUAAACGAUGUCAACUAGUUGUUGGGGAUUCAUUUCUUCAGUAACGUAGCUAACGCGUGAAGUUGACCGCCUGGGGAGUACGGUCGCAAGAUUAAAACUCAAAGGAAUUGACGGGACCCGCACAAGCGGUGGAUGAUGUGUAUUAAUUCGAUGCAACGCGAAAAUCUUUACCUACCCUUGACAUGCCACUAACGAAGCAGAGAUGCAUUAGCUGCCCGAAGGAAGUGACACAGCUGCUGCAUGCUGUCGUCAGCUCGUGUCGUGAGAUGUGGGAUAGUCCCGCAACGAGCGCAUCCGUGUCUCUAGUUGCUACGAGGUACUCUAAGAGACUGCGUGACACGAGAGUGGAUGACUCAGUCCUCCUGCUUACGUAGCCUCACGGUCUACAUGUGCUACAGGGUUGCACCGAAGGGACUAUUCCA